GAUGAACGCUGACAGAAUGCUUAACACAUGCAAGUCUUUGGCGAAGCUGUGCUUGCUCAGCCUAGCCAUGGCGGACGGGUGAGUAACGCGUAAGGAACUUGCCCUGCAGUCAGGGAUAACAGACGGAAACGACUGAUAAGACCUGGUAAAGUCAGGCGGACUCAUGUCCAGCCUGAUGAAAAGAGAUGCUGCAGGAGAGCCUUGCGUCCUAUUAGCUUGUUGGUGGGGUAACGGCCCACCAAGGCGAUGAUAGGUAGCCGGCCUGAGAGGGUGGACGGCCACAAGGGGACUGAGAUACGGCCCUUACUCCUACGGGAGGCGGCAGUGGGGAAUAUUGGACAAUGGGGGCAACCCUGAUCCAGCAAUUCUGUGUGCACGAUGAAGGUUUUCGGAUUGUAAAGUGCUUUCAGCAGGGAAGAAAAAAAUGACGGUACCUGCAGAAGAAGCGACGGCUAAAUACGUG
rnacentral:rRNA from 1 species